GACGAACGCUGGCGGCGUGCCUAAUACAUGCAAGUCGAACGCAGUGGGGACGGGUGAGUAACACGUGGGUAACCUACCAUCAGAGGGGAUAACACUUGGAAACAGGUGCUAAACCGAUACUGAUGGAUGGACCAGCGGUGCAUUAGCGAGUUGGGGAGGUAACGGCUCACCAAGGCCACGAUGCAUCACGGGCCUGAGAGGGUGAUCGGCCACACUGGGACGGAGAAAGGGCCCGGCUUCUUACGGGAGGCAGCAGUGGGAAAUCUUCGGCAAGGGAGGAAAGUCGGACCAAGCAACGCCGCGUGGGGGAAGAGGGUUUUCGGAUCGAAAAACUCUGUUAUCAGAGAAGCGGUAUCUAACCAGAAAGCCACGGCUAACUACGUGCCAGCAGCCGCGGUAAUUC
rnacentral:rRNA from 1 species